rnacentral:rRNA from 1 species
ACACGUAGGGGCCUGACGUUGUUCGGAAUCAUUGGGCGUAAAGGGCGCGCAGGCGGCCGUCCAAGUCCGGUGUUAAAUGGUCGGGCUCAACCCGAUCAUGCGCUGGAAACUGGGCGGCUUGAGUCCCGUAGGGGAUGCCGGAAUUCCAGGUGUAGGGGUGAAAUCUGUAGAUAUCUGGAAGAACACCGAUGGCGAAGGCAGGCAUCUGGCCGGAGACUGACGCUGAGGCGCGAAGGCGCGGGGAGCGAACAGGUUUAGAUACCCUGGUAGUCCGCGCAGUAAACGAUGCGCACCAGGUGUCGGGCGGCAGCGCCCGGUACCGGAGCUAACGCGAUGAGUGCGCCGCCUGGGGAGUAUGCCCGCAUGGGUGAAACUUAAAGGAAUUGACGGGG